rnacentral:rRNA from 1 species
AGCGAACGCUGGCGGCAGGCUUAACACAUGCAAGUCGAGCGCCCCGCAAGGGGAGCGGCAGACGGGUGAGUAACACGUGGGAACGUGCCUUUUGGUUCAGAACAACCCAGGGAAACUUGGCUAAUACCGGAUAAGCCCUUACGGGGAAAGAUUUAUCGCCAAAAGAUCGGCCCGCGUCUGAUUAGCUAGUUGGUGGGGUAAUGGCCCACCAAGGCUACGAUCAGUAGCUGGUCUGAGAGGAUGAUCAGCCACAUUGGGACUGAGACACGGCCCAAACUCCUACGGGAGGCAGCAGUGGGGAAUAUUGGACAAUGGGGGCAACCCUGAUCCAGCCAUGCCGCGUGAGUGAUGAAGGCCUUAGGGUUGUAAAGCUCUUUUAGCAGGGAAGAUAAUGACGGUACCUGCAGAAAAAGCCCCGGCUAACUUCGUGCCAGCCGCCGCAGUAA